GGAGCCGCAGGGCCCCACGCCGGUGGGGAGGCCGGUCCUCGCGGGCAGCCCCUGCGCCCGGCCGGGCCCACGGCAAGGAAGGACGCGAGGCGGCUAACGAGCUGAUGUUAGUGCCAUCUUUAGAAAAUUAAAGAUUGUCCCACCAAAAUAAUAUUACAAAAAAAAAAA